UACGUAGGGGGCAAGCGUUGUCCGGAUUUAUUGGGCGUAAAGAGCGUGUAGGCGGCUAGGUAGGUCCGUUGUGAAAACUCGAGGCUCAACCUCGAGACGCCGGUGGAAACCAUCUAGCUAGAGUCCGGAAGAGGAGAGUGGAAUUCCUGGUGUAGCGGUGAAAUGCGCAGAUAUCAGGAAGAACACCCGUAGCGAAGGCGGCUCUCUGGGCCAACACUGACGCUGAGACGCGAAAGCUAGGGGAGCAAACGGG
rnacentral:rRNA from 1 species